AGAAGGCGCCGGGGCAAGCGGCCUGUUGGCGCCCAGUUUCAGCUGGCUGUUCCCGCUAGCAUCAGGGCUCGAUCGUAGAGGACGCGGCAGCCGCAGCUCGCGGAGAACAGCGGGCAGAGCUGUGGGCUGCACGCGCCCCUGCAGCCACCGGGCGUCCCGCAGAGGCUCCCGCGCCCUGCGGCGACUUCCGCCCCCGCGCUCCCCUUUGUCCGAGUCCCCAAGCGGCGGCGGCGGGGUAGGAGCCCACGCCGUGGGCGACUGAGGCGGCGGCAGUCCGCGUCCCGGCGCCCUGGAGAUGCCGGACCAGAUCUCCGUGUCGGAAUUCGUGGCCGAGACCCUUGAGGACUACAAGGCGCCCACGGCCUCUAGCUUCACCACGGGCACGGCCCAGUGCCGGAACACCAUGGCGGCCAUCGAGGAGGUUAAGCUGUUCCCCGGAAUGUUUUAACAACAGGGCAUACCCAGGUGAAUUAUACCCUUUUGGGGUUCAGACCUCGCUCAACUGGAGACCUGCCUGUCUGUGCAAAGCCCAGUGCCCCACAUGAAUGGAUGCAGUGACUUAUGAUGAUGUGCAUGUGAACUUCACUGGGGAAGAGUGGAAUUUGCUGGAUCCUUCCCAGAAGAGUCUCUACAAAGAUGUGAUGCUGGAGACCUACUGGAACCUCACUGUUAUAGGCUACACUUGGGAAAACCAUCAUAUUGAAGGACAUUGUCAAAGUUCAAGAAGAAAUGAAAGGUAUGUAAGUAAUCAUAGUGGAGAGAAACUCUAUGAAUAUAAUGAACGUUCUAAAGCCUUUUCAUGUCCCAGUCAUCUCCAAUGUCAUAAAAGAAGACAAAUUGGAGAGAAAACACAUGAACAUAACCAAUGUGGUAAAGCCUUUCCAACACCCAGUCAUCUUCAAUAUCAUAAAAGAACCCAUACUGGAGA
rnacentral:lncRNA from 1 species